rnacentral:tRNA from 1 species
GUGGAUGUGGGUCAGAUGGAUGACCACCGGCCUGUGAAGCCGAGGAGGCGGGAUCGUUGCCCGUCAUUCACCCCA